UGGGGAAUUUUGCACAAUGGGCGCAAGCCUGAUGCAGCCACGCCGCGUGUAGGAAGAAGGCCUUCGGGUUGUAAAGUACUUUCAGGCGGGAAGAAGGUCUUAAGGUUAAUAAGCUUAUCAAUUGACGUUACCGACAGAAGAAGCACCGGCUAACUCGGUGCCAGCAGCCGCGGUAAUACGGUGGGUGCAAGCGUUAAUCGGAAUUACUGGGCGUAAAGCGCACGCAGGCGGUUGAUUGAGUCAGAUGUGAAAUCACCGGGCUUAACCCGGGAAUUGCAGCUGAUACUGGUAAGCUAGAGUCUUGUAGAGGGGGGUAGAAUUCCAUGUGUAGCGGUGAAAUGCGUAGAGAUCUGGAGGAAUACCGGUGGCGAAGGCGGCCCCCUGGACGGAGACUGACGCUCAGGUGCGAAAGCGUGGGGAGCAAAAAGG
rnacentral:rRNA from 1 species